UACAGAGGGGGCGAGCGUUGUUCGGAAUUACUGGGCGUAAAGGGCGCGUAGGUGGCCUGUUAAGUCGAACGUGAAAUCCCCGGGCUCAACCCGGGAACUGCGUCCGAGACUGGCAGGCUCGAAUCCGGGAGAGGGAUGUGGAAUUCCAGGUGUAGCGGUGAAAUGCGUAGAUAUCUGGAGGAACACCGGUGGCGAAGGCGGCAUCCUGGACCGGUAUUGACGCUGAGGCGCGAAAGCCAGGGGAGCAAACGGGAUUAGAAACCCCCGUAGUCC
rnacentral:rRNA from 1 species